rnacentral:lncRNA from 1 species
AAUUGCUAUGUCUUGCACAUCUGAGUUUCUACAACCUGGUUUGCAACUGGCUGGAUGUUCUUCAUCCUCUUUUGUUUCCUUCCUCUUUCAAACUAGUAUUUUGUUUGUUUUUUCUUCUAAAUGUAUCCCUUUAAAUCUCUGGGACUCUCCUUUGCUGGGUCUGCUCACUGCCCCCUCUGCUGUCCACCUGGGAGAUGAUGCUGGAUAAAGUGCCUGGUCCCUGCCACCCAGAGACUGUUCUCUCUUCACUGUCCACUCAUCAUCUCUGCAGGGACUCCCAGAAUGCUAAAUCUGUCACCAUCCCAGCUUGGAAAGCUGAGUGCCCCAAGAGGAGGUGGAUUCAGAAUAAAAUUCCUUAUUAUCAUCCUUAAGAGGCAAGACCUGUUUCCUGCUAGUUCCUGCAUAAUGAGUCAUCUUUUCCCUUCUUCCCUCUCCCCCAACCUCAGAUGUGCACCUGCUGUGGUUCUCUGGAUCUGUGGAUGCUUCACCAGGCUUUCCCAAGGCACCCCUACCUGGCCUCCUUACCCCAGGGAGUCUGCUCGGCGCCAUAGUCUUGGGACACCUCCUUAAACUCUCCAGAUAAGGGAGGUAAAAGAAAAAACAAACACAGCUACAUUGCAACUCAUUUGUUCUCAGCUUGGAACAUUUGCAUCUGUGCGAGGCAAUUAGGCUUAAUGGAACGGCCCCGUGCAGAGGUUGGAGCCUGUGCUAUGGCGAUGGAGGGUUAUCUAGACUGCAUACUCUGAAAUUCAGUCCAGGAUGCUUGACCCAAGAAUCAAAGAGAGAAAAGAAAAUGGAGCCUUGCACGCUUUCUGGCAUCCCAGGAUUGUUACCCUGGUGGCUGUGAGACUCUGUGGUUUGGGUAUUCAAACGGUUGAUAAGGACAAAGACUGGUGAGUCCCUCCAGUGGGGAGAGACCCUGUUGCAAUGAUUUCUUGUUCCUGAAGCAAAACUCGGAGAGAAUAAGUCUCAAAGACAGCUGUGUUGAUUAUGUUGCUACCACACGCAGUCUCACGUCUCAGCUUCCAGGGAGGGCCUUCCAGGACAGUACGUGUCCCGAAGUGUGCCACCCUCUCCGGGAGAGCCAGCUGGUAGUUUUUGGCAGCUGGUGGCAUUGAACUUGAGCUUCGUUUUGGAAACAUCUUCUAAGACUCACCUGCUGCUACACCUAAUGGUACCAGACCUUGGGAGACAGUGUAGUCAGGAACCAAAGGGGCUCGUGCGAAGAAUGAGCUGGUGUGGUAGGAGACGGCCACAGAAGGGAAAACGCCUGAUUCUCCGUGGGCCUUCUCCACACACCGGGAGGCAGGCGUUCUUAGUGUCCUUCGCCCAGCUGCACCCCCACCAGUUUCAGAGGAAUGUCCAUGCUGGGAAUCUGGUUUUCCCCUGGAACGCCAUCUCUGUUUAACAUCAGAGGGUGAUGGAUUUUUUUAAACAGGAGAGUGGCUUGGCAUACUCCUCUACUGGCACAUCCACUUGUUAGGGAGGGGACCCCAUGUGCUGCAUCUUCAUGGGAGUUGUGGAAGCACCACAGAGAGUCAGUGGGCAUCUCGGCGGAAGACGAUUAGAAAGGAGUCUUCUCUGGACUGGGAAGCAUGUGAAGGAGGGCCGGAAGGGGGGCUGGAUGCGUGGAAUUCAGGUUUGUAUCACAGCUUCAGGAAGGCACUUUCAGCUGAUUGAGUAGCAUCUUGUCAUUAUUUAAGCUGCUGUCCAUCAGUAGUCUUAAAAUCCUUAUUCUCUUCUUGGUGACUUAUAGGAGAUUCUGACAUCAACUGUAAAAAGAAGAACAUUUAAAAUUCUAUUUACUUGAGAAUAAUUGUGAGGCCAAGUUGUAUCAGAAAAUCCAUUAAGUACUUAAAAGAUUAAUUUUCGUUAUGACUGCUAGUUAGUAAAUAUUAUCUUUUAUAUCAUCCUGAACAAUAAUAUGAGGGAUGGGAACUAUUUAACUUGUUUUGGUUUGAUUUUAAAACUUUAAUUAUGGUAAUAUUUGGCAUUAUUAUUAGUAUUAUAAGAGGACUGAAGCAAAUUACUUUUGGUGGUUGAUUUCUUGAAACAGUUUUUACUGGAUCACUGGAAAUGAAGCUUAAAUCCUGGAAGCAAGUGUAGAGAUGGGAGGAAAUUGAGUCUAAUGGGAGAAGAGUAAAGUUACCUGGGAAUUCCGAUUUAUUUUGGGCAAAAUCUCUUAUGGUUAGUUGCGUAAUGAUGAAGGAGUCGGUGUUCUGCCUGUUCAUUCAUUCAUUCAUUCAUUCAAUGAGUACUUACCGAAGCUGAUGCAUUCUUUUUUGGGGGGAGUGAUAUUAAUUUAAAAAAUUUUAUUUUUAAUAAGCAAUGUGUAGAUCUAAGAUAUACAAUAUGCUGAUUGGAUAUUCGUAUAUGUAGUGAAAUGAUUACUAUAGUAAAGCUAAUUAACAUAUCUUCUCCUUACGUAGUUACUGUCUUUGCUGUGAAAUGAGAGCACCUGAAAUUUACUUGUGGGGGACUGGAAUUGGCCACCCCAAGAUAUGCCUCUUUGGCAUGAGGAUUAUUUUGGGCUGGUUACCUUAAAAACUGCGGAUAGGAAAGAAACUCGGAAAAGUAGAAUUUACUUACCCUUUGUUAAGAGACAUUUAUAUUGUAAAAGAAAUCUCCAUCUGUAAAGGG